rnacentral:rRNA from 1 species
AACGAACGCUGGCGGCAUGCCUGACACAUGCAAGUCGAACGAGACCUUCGGGUCUAGUGGCGCACGGGUGCGUAACGCGUGGGAACCUGCCCUUAGGUUCGGAAUAACUCCCCGAAAGGGGUGCUAAUACCGGAUAAUGUCUUCGGACCAAAGAUUUAUCGCCUUUGGAUGGGCCCGCGUUGGAUUAGCUAGUUGGUAGGGUAAAAGCCUACCAAGGCGACGAUCCAUAGCUGGUCUGAGAGGAUGAUCAGCCACACUGGGACUGAGACACGGCCCAGACUCCUACGGGAGGCAGCAGUGGGGAAUAUUGGACGAUGGGCGAAAGCCUGAUCCAGCAAUGCCGCGUGAGUGAUGAAGGCCUUAGGGUUGUAAAGCUCUUUUACCCGGGAUGAUAAUGACAGUACCGGGAGAAUAAGCUCCGGCUAACUCCGUG